rnacentral:lncRNA from 10 species
CAGUAAUGCAGUUUAAGGAAUGAAGCCAGAUUCUCUUUCUAUGAGCAGGGCAUGUCUGCCAGCCAGCAGCCCGGGGUGCGAGCUGUGUGAGCAUGUGUGUUGGUGAGUGCGUGAGUGUGUGUGUGAGUUUGUGUGAAUGUGUGCCUGUGAGGAAGAUAGAGACAGAGAAAGAAGGACAGAGACACAGCGGCCACCUGAAUGAGCACACCAAGAUCAACUUGACUCCCUGGGUGACAAAGUCAAUCCUCAGCACCGAGCAACACGAAUGACUCCAUACAUGCGAUUUCAUGGCACAAAGUCAACAGAGAAAAGGGAGGCGACGCAGGAGGGACUCAGAUGUUUCUCAGCACGUCUUUAAAGAAAUGAAGACACCCCAAGGGUCCUGCCCAGACCUCUCCUGGCUGGAAUCAAGGUCCUGAUGGAGAUCAUCAUGGAAAAUGCAGCCAGCACUUGUGCCCCAUGGGGCUGGGCUGGGGGAACAAGGACUUCAGCCCUCCAGUGGGGGAGGCUGAGUAUGUGCAGGGCGGACGUGGCUGGGUGGCCUCUGCCCGGGACGGAUGGGCUGCAAUGUGGACUCUGCCUGGCUUGGACACUCCCACACCCACUCCAGUGGCUCAGCCUUCCCGGACUGGCUUCUGUUAAUCUGUUUCCCAUUCUUUUCCUUUUAAAUUGAAUCAGGCCUGAGAGGAUAAACACUUCCAAGUGAAAUAAAUCUUGGUAUUUGAGGGCUAUUAGGCUUUUCACCUGCUUCUUCAAAAAGUCUCUACAAAAACAAAAACAGAAACCCAUGGAGGCUGGUUAGGGGAAGCAGCACUUUAAUUUCAGGGCGGUGCUGAUAGCUGGGCCAUCGAUCUGCAGGGGCAGGGGAUGGGCCAAGGCCUCGGCGGGGGUUCUCUGUGGCUUGGGCCGGCGGUUAAAUGAAAUGAAUGGCUCGGUCAUAAACUGGUUGGAAUGAAUCAAUUGAGUCGAACAAGGACAGGAUCAUGUGCUGGGAGAGUGAGAACCAAAUAGGUUUGAAGGAAGCAUACCUUGAAAACUACAGCUGCCGCAAGCUCUUGCAAUCAGGAAACUGAUGAGCAGUUAAUUUGUGUGAAAGUAGGGGAAGGUCUAAUGGUGGUUGCGUGAUAAGAAACAAGGCUGUGGAUUGCUGAUGGAGCCCAUCAAUCUUCCAGGAGUAGCCGAACGUUCCCUCGUCACAUGAGUAAGGAAACGUACGGGACUGUGAACCCGCUGGGCUUCCGGCACACAAUUAGCUGAUGCCAUGGUGCACCCUGGCUUGUCUCUCUCUGCAAGCAUUAUUUUGCUAAUUAAGUUGUAGACACUUUAAGGUCAAAGGCUCUGUCUUAGACCGUUUUAUGUGGUGGGCACAAGAAUAAUAUGAUAUCACUUAUGUUAAUUAAGGAUACUAUUAUAAGUAUCAUAUUAACAUUAACAAAUGUUUAUUGUUGAUUUCUCUAGCAAAUGAUCAUUCCA